ensembl:lncRNA
CUUAUCUCCUCAGAAAGAGCUGUGAUUCUUCAUCUCUCUUUGCAUAUUAAGAUUAUGGUUUUGCAAUAGAGGGACAAAAAUCAAGAGUGAAACAGUGCAGCUAGUGUUUUAAUUAAUAUCAUGGAUUGAAACCAAAGGUACCAGUGUUAAAAGACGAGAAUCCCUCAUACACUUCAGAAAUGCCACUGCCUUUCUUCUGUGUCUUUGCGUGUGUGUGUGAUAAUGUAUUUGUGUGAGCAGUUUUGUAUUGUGGUUGCAAAGGCUUGCGUGUAGCCAGGCGUAGCAGACUGUGUCCGGUCUGUCAGGGUCCAGAGCAGGCAGUGGGAUAAAAAGUGGUCAACACCAGGGAGAACAGCUGCAGUCUUCCAUUGCUCGGCUAUGCCUGAGUGGGCCAGACCAUUGCUCGCGUGGCCCCCUUCUCUCCAGGGCCAGACGCAGGACGGGCACUCUCCCAGAACCCCAAUGAACCAGCCUGACAACCUGCCUCUAGCCCCACAUGAAUAAGUCAGGCCUGCCACUGCCAAUCAGUCCAUCAGUCAGUUAGUCAGUCAAGCAGAGGAACACAUGAAUGCUUUACACACACCUCUAGUACACAGAAUAAGAACACGGCCCAUUCUUAUUCACAACAUAUGUGUCAUAUAAAAUCUGCUCAGGCCUUUGUUUCUACUUGAGGGUAAUGCCAAUGGUUACCAGAUGUUCUCAGCUGGAAAAUGUGUUCUGUGUCAAAACAUGACAAGAAAAAAAGAAUAUAUGUCUUAUAACACUGUUUCUAAAUCUUUGCUCUACUUUUUAAUUGUAGGUGGGGCCCUUAUGUGUGUGGAGACAGGAGACCUCAUUGUUCCUGUAACUGUGUAAAGCACAUAGACUGACCCAGGCUCUGUUUGUGUGGCAGAUGAAGACAUUUCAGGCCAGCUGCAUGGAGGCCCAAAUUUGUAAGGUGAGGAUUCUGUGGUGUCCUGAAACAUCCUGAUAAAACUAAAGUCAGACCCAUCACCCUUAAGACUCCAUCCCAGCAAUCUCUUCUGAGGUUUACAUGGUUGGUUGACUCUGUAAAUAAAAUGGCAAUAUACAGCA